rnacentral:lncRNA from 1 species
UAAGUUUUUCUUUUUCUUUUUCUUUUUCUUUUUCUAGCAAAUUUUUACAAUUCUUUGGUUUAAAUGACUUUGUGAGGGUCACCUAUAACGGAGUUGCCUUUUUGCUUUCUUUUAUUUUGUUUGUUUUUCUGGAUCAUUCACUUAUUUGCAUCGGUCCCCUACGUAGAGGAUGCGUAGGCCGGAGCUGACUGCUGAGAUAAACUACUAAGGAC